UUUUAAACGAAAAUCCGUAUGCUCGAGUAGAGAGUAAAUUAUUCUUGAAAUGAGUGCUAAAAAACAAGAUCGCUAGGAAGAAUUAGAUACUGGGAGUUAAAGAGAUGUUCGGUAUAGAAUUGAUUUAGCAUAACUGCCUUUGGAUCCUAGAUUAAGAAUUCCAAUUGGGAAUUAUAAUGUUAAUAUUCAGGAUAAAAUCCAAAGAGCAUACGUACAAAUGGAUCCAUGUCAGCCAGGAAAUCACUUGUGUCCAUAGAAAGAACUUGGAGAUUCGUCGUUAAGACGAUUUAAAACUUCUUGAUUUAAUGAUUUUUCUGAUUGGUUGGGAUGCAGUAUAGCAAAAGAUGCCCUAUUUUUCUUUUGUUGUUUUCUUUUCAAACCAAAUAGUGAAGAACAUGGUGGUGGUGAUUCUUUUGUUGAUGAAGGGUUCUCAAAUUGGAAAAAUAAAUGAAGGUUUCAAACUAAUGUUGAGAAAACUAGUAGUGCACACAACUGAACGUGGAUUAAAUAUGAUGCUUUUGUGAAUCAGAAACAAAAUAUUGAGUGUGUUCUCUUUAAGAAGUCAAAAAGAACAAAAGAUGAGUAUCGAAUUCGUUUGAAUGCGUCAAUUGAUUGUGUUCAAUUGCUUCUACAAUAAGGGCUUUCAUUUCGUGGACAUGAUGAAUCUCAGAUUCAAGAAAUCAAAAAAAAAUUCUUGAAAUUUUGCAGUGAUUAUGUGAUUAUAAUAAAGAGAUUAAGGAUAUUUGUUUAAGUAAUGCUCCUGAAAACCUUGAAUUAACAUUACCUAAAAUUCAAAAGAAUAUUGUGAGUGUUAUUGCAUUUGAAACACUGGAUGUUAUUGUGAAGGAUAUUGGUGAUGGGUUAUUUUUCAUUCUUGAUGAUGAAUCUCAUGAUGUAUCAGCGAAUGAGCAAAUGUUAAUUGUUCUACGUUAUAUGAAUCAGAAAGGAAAAGUAACGAAAUGUUUUAUCGAAGUUGAACAUGUCUCUAGUACCACAGCUCUCUCAGAUAAGGAUUCUAUUGAUCACUUAUUCUCUAGAUUGAACUUAAGUAUAUAUAGUUUAAGAUAUCAAGGUUAUGAUGGGGCAAGCAAUAUGCGAAGUGAGUACAAUGGUCUUGGCACUUGAAGAGCAACAUAUAUUGUUGAUAUGUGCACUCAUGUAGAUUUUGAUGGGUUACGAGGUCUUAAUGAUCUUACAAAAAAGUUGGUUGCGAUGAAAAACAUGAG
rnacentral:lncRNA from 1 species